UCUCUGGAGAGGCCUGGGGGGACUUGAUUCCUGUACCUUUAAGAUGGAAGCUGCCAACAGGGCUGCGGGAAGAUGCCAGUGUUCUCUCUCUAAUACCAUGAAAAAUUGGGGUGCAUAGCUCAGCAUCCAUCAGCAAAUGCCCCAGGGACCAUGGUUUCUUCUUUGUAGAGGUGGAAAUUCAGUUCAGCUGCUCUUCCUGUUGCAUGAGCAGGGUAGGUACAAUUCGAGACAGGUCCUGGGAUGCAAGGCUGCAAUGCUGAGGUGGUGAGGGCAGGGGCUGCGGAGGACUGAAUUACAAGAAAAGUAAGCAUCAUGUGCAUGUAACUUAAGACUUAGAAGGUAGAAAUGUUUUCUUCUGCUACCAGGAGUGCAAAGGAAAAAGCAACAAAGCGAGGUAUUUCUAUUACAAAUACUUUAAUGUUGUUCUCAUGAGAAGAGAGGCCCACAGUACUAUAAAAGGGAUGCGAAGCAAUAGAUUGGUAGAUUCUGGUGCUCUUAUCUAUUAUACACCUUGGGCAAGAUUCUUAUGCUCAAGUCUUAACUGAACAUUCAUUUUCUAACAUGUAUUUGGGACUCUCAUAUUUCCCAGCAAUCUGAGUACUUCUAAGUGGGGUUGUAAUUCGUUUGUUUCCUGGUCUUAAGUGAGGGUGGUAACAACAGUACUUCUCAGUGCCCAGAGCUGUCAGUCUACAGACACUGGCUCUGUUUCUUGUUUUCGUGCUUCACUAAUGCGAGAACCUUAAGCAGCAGGGAACUUAACCAUUUAGAGCAGCGCUGGUUGUUAGCUUUUGCGAGUGGCUUUUUUCUCUUGAAGUGCCAUUGGGCUCCUUACUUUUACAGAUAUAUCUGGAAAUUGACUCAUCUUUAUAAAUGACUAUUCUGUGGAGAUCUGGAGUUUUGAGUAUCCAGCUAAGUUCAGCAGUAUUCAGCAGUGUUCUCCCUUCGUCAGAGGAACACCAAACUUGGUGACUUCACCAUGUUUUCUCUUCAAAUUUUUCUUCUCUGAGCACCUGUCCCCACCCUCCUUUCAACUGUGGUAUCUGUGAAUGCUCUCCAUUGCUGAAGUCUUGGCUUUGGUCAGCCCAUUGAAUUAAUAGCAAAGCUACUAUCUUGUUACAGUAAAUCAGUUUUCAUUCACAGUGCAUAAUUAUUUAAAUCAGCUUCCCCCCUGCCAAGUGAAGGGGACCUGACAGCUUCUUCAGGAGUUCCCUUUCAGGAAGAUGAUUCACAUGCUGCCUCCGUGGAGACGGAAUAUUUGAAUAAUUUAUUUAUUAUUAGCAUUCAGUGUGUUUGCAGUGGUAUUACCAGAGAAGUAAAAUGAAGUCGGAGGGGUUGUACAGCACAUCCCAAAGGGAGUAAUUUGAACAGCAGAGCUCGCCUUUGUUUGAGAAAGUGGGUAAAGCCCUGGCUGGGCUGCUGGAGUCCUGAGGGUGCUGGCAGGGACACGUGUUUGUGUGCAGGUUUGGAAACACUGUGUGCAUUCAAUAGACAGUACCAGCCACAUACAGCAUUUUGAAGUGAUCCUUAGAAAAACAGUCACUUUGGCAUGACAUUUUUGUUUGCAUUCUGUGUAGUACACUUCUAAACAGGUUGCUAUGCAUUAGGAAUAUAGCACGUAGAUAGUCUUUUUAUUUUUCUACUCAAGUGUGUAAGACAGUGGCCGAAGCUGUGAUUUAGUAAGUGUAAGUGCUCAAAGUAUGGUUGUGUUAAUGUGUGUCAGAGCCAUGAGGAGGGAAGUGCAGCAGCUGCCUGCCUGUGUUCCCCAAAUGCAGGACUCCUGAGCCUCCUUUGGCUUUGAAGUUGAAGGGGAGAAAGGCUGAAGUGUAGCAGACAGGUCUUGUCCAUGUUAGUUCACGUUGCAGAGUAUGCCAAGGUAAGUUUAAGCCCUACUCUGUUGAAAGUCGGUGACUUGCCUUUUAGAUCUGCACAGACAUUUCUGCUAUCUUUGCAGAUAAGUUUGUGUAUUUUGCAACAGUCCCUCGCAGUGUCUUUGAAGUUCUUGCUCCUGGGUGACUCGGGACAGAGUUUACUGCCUUUGUUUACUUUCCCUGACAACUGGAGGGUGUGGGUGCCUGCUGCAGGCCAAUCAUGCUGCCAUGCAAGGGCACAGAGGUACAGCUGCCCUGCCUCCAGCGGGAGCAGCAGCAGUAAAACAGCACUUGGAAAUACAUGUGGGAGUGAGGAGUAACUGCUGCUGCAAAUCCCUGCGGCCUGGCCUGGCUACCCCAGUUAAUAGUGUGGGGUAGGAGAGGAAAGGAGAGGGUUCUGAAAGCCUGGAGGGGGAAGCGGGAGGCUCCUUGCCCAGGUCAGUGCUGAGCUCAUCUGCAGGUAGCAGUGCUCCAGGGGCACUGCUAAAUGAUUGAGCUGAUCUUAGCAAGCUCCUGCUCAGUGCCCUUCUCCUUGCCAGCCUGUAUACCCCAGUGUUCCCCAUUUCCCACCAGGAGCUGCUCCUUGCUCAGAACUCAAGGCUCACUUGCCCAUGCCCAGCAUUUCUGCAGGCCCAGGGCACGGUGAGCAUCUCCCAGGUGCUGCUGGUGACUGAGAAGUGCUGGGCAUGGUUCCCACAGAGAAGUCUGGCAGCAGUGUGUGUCAGACUUGUCCUGUCAGUGGCAUUUGGGGCCAGCCCACCUCCAGCUAGGCUGGGUUGGAGCAGGACGGAUCAGCGGCCCACACCAGGGACAUGGCGUAGUGCUGGCUUUACAGCACUAGUGCUCUGAGCAGGUCGUGGUUAGAAACAAAGGUAGGAUGCAUGCAGUAACAUAGGACACGGUACAGUAUGUAAAGAUUUCCAAAACUGUAAAAUCACUGUGAUUGUUGCCAUCAGGAUCUUUGGGCUGAUGAGCUGGAGCAUAUGCUCCAUGCUGAGAGCUUGCUACUGUUUGGCAUUCCUUCACUGUGAAGGUGGCAUGUAUUAGAAGUAAUCUUGGCUUUCAUAACUGUAGAUUCUGUUUGAGAGUACAGCCACAAGAGACACAUACGUCUGUGCCUUACGUGGAGACGACUAAAAUAAGAACAGUUUUGCAAUUGUGUCACUGAGCAGUUCUGGUGGUGUGUAGUUUGCUAUGAACGGGGAAAGCUGUUGUCAAGUUGGGCUGUUCCUUGACGGCAUGUCAGGUUCCUUGAGACAUAGUUACACUGCGAGAAUUAAAAGAAGAACUCUGGGAAUUUUUAAGAAGCUCUUAUGCUAGGACUUUCUUCUGUCUUGGGCAGUUAGACAUCCCUCAGCAGACUCCUAGCCAGUAAACUGAAGAAAGUUAUGGGAAAAGCAGCAAUGGUGAUUGAAUCUGAGAGUUUUUUGUGUUUGUGGUGUCUGUGGUUAACAUUGGCACUAAUUGUUCCUCUCCAACAUGCAAAGAAUUUCUGCCUACUGGUCCGAGCUGAUCGCGGUACUGCCGGUUAAAGAUUGGUAGGUUUUUGGUUCCAUAAAAGGCAUUUCUUAAGCAUCAACAAGAAAUGGUCAAUUAAUGGAAAUGGCAUAUUGCUAAGUGAGCCUAAUGUUAUUUGAACAGUAGAGAAAACUAGAGAGUAUCUUAAAGUGUAAGGGUGGUUAGCAGUAUGCACAUUUCAUGCUGUGUGUUAUUUAAGCUGAAUGUGUAAAAAACAGUUGGUUUCAGUUAUUGGAAUAAAACUUAACCGCAAGAAAUUCUUCAGUUGUGCACUUGUCAGUAUGCAGAGCUCUGAAGUCACUGAAGUUCGUUCUCACACAUCGCUUUAUUUUGCUGCAAUUUAUAACAGACUUGAAACUGAAUUGGGACUUCAAGAGGGAAGGAAGUGGGGUUUUUCCCUUUAUCAGUAGAAGUACAGCAUGUUCAGAAACCCAAAAACUGAAUCCAGGACUCCUUUUGGGGCAAUUAAUCCUUUACGCUAUCCAUGUCAGUCUGUUUGAAGUACACCUGCCAGGGUGGUAGACUGGGAAAAUGAGCCUACAGUAGGUACAGCACUUUUUCCUCUCAUUCCUCUCUCAUUUAAAGUAAAGGUAAGUUGCAUUUGCAUCCUGAAGGGUACAUUCUUUAAGCAGUCCUCUCAAAUCAGCAUGAGAUAAACUCUCAUUUUUGUGCCUAAGUGAUCUUUGGCAGAAGUCCUUAAGACUUUUAAGCUGGUGAAGUAAUUGAUCUUGUUGUUAAUGUUUUUAAUACUGACCACAAAUUAGCAAAGAAAAUAUGAGUUUAUAUUCAAGCUGUCUUGGGACAGCUUCUGUCAAUUUGGAAAUACCAUUAUGAGAUCCUUGGCUUCCUUUUAUGUAAUUUUUUUCCUCAAAGUUUUAGUUCUUUUUAAAGGUCAAAGUCUCUCAGUGGUUGCAACUGCAUAAAAUAAAGCUAAUAAGUUCACUUUCUCUCUGACAAUGUUUAUUUCUACAUCUGGUCCAUCACACUGCUCUCUAAUGCAGAAGAAGGAUCUGGUGAAAUUGAAAUUGAAGUUGUUCAUGAAGCAGUGGGAAAGUCCAGUCCUGAAUUUUAAACAUAUGCACAAUUGUGAGGUAGAUAUUAAGAACAUUUACUGCAUGUCUUUUAAUUUCAUAUUUCUACAGUACAUCCUUGCACUGAAGCUUUUAAACAGAGCUUCUUUAUGUGAAUGCACUUGUUUUUCUUUAUAAUAGGAUAUAUUGCUUUGUGAGUUCUAUCAUUUGUGUUUCUGAUACUAACAAAUAAGUUGUUUCUCAUGAAACAAGAACAGCAAACUGUUUCUCUUGAGAGGCAAAGAUACAAUAGCUAAGGCCAGACAGCCUGAUGAGCCAUGUGAACAAAUGUCUAUCUGUGUGUAUAUUUAACAAACGUGUUUAAAUAUAAAUGUGUGUUAUCAAAUAUAUUGAGCAUGUACAAAUAAAUGUGUAGUCAUAUAGGAAAGUAACCCUUUUUGUGCUAUAGAUUUGGUUCAUCUGCCCUACUUCCUUUUCUGUGUUGGUAACUUGCGUGCUUCUUUUUAUAGGGUACAGUGUCUUGCACAGAUACAGCUGCUCCUACUCUUUACCUGCAAAGGAAACCUCCACAGUAGGUGUAAAAACACAAGCCCUGAAAUACAUAAUUUGGUGUCUAAGCAAGGGUUUGAUGUGUCUGGAGAACAGCACUGGUUCAGGAGAAUGACGCUGAUAUUUGCUUUCAAUGGUUUGACCAAAAUUAAUCUCAAAAAGGCAACCUGUGUGCACAUGGGUGUUCAGAGUGCAGUUUCGUACCAGAAGACAAGAGAAGCAGCUUGGUAUUGUCUGCUCAAAUUGAUGCUUUAGGCACCCAGUAAACAUUGGCUUCGCAGUGCAAUCCGAUGAACUACUUACUGCUUGAAGGCAGAAAUGGCAAGGGGCAGAACUUGAUGGGAGCAAAAUCCAGUGACUAGGCAGUACUGCAAGGUCAUGGCUCCAUGGCUUUUCUGUUCAGUCACCCUGGAUUAGCAAAGCUCCAAUGACUUCUAAAGAACAAGACCUAGAGUUACUGGCAGAUUUCUGAAACGAAUCCUUCUGAAAUUGUGUUGCCAGGAUCAGCAGUUACUGUCUUAACCAGAGCUGCAGGUGCAUUUAGUCAGUGGUAUCGAAAUUUGUGUUGUAAAUGUUUCAUGAAUUGCCAGCUGUCUUUAGAGAUGCCCCCUCUGCCUUUCACAUGGGUAGUUUCCCAAAGACUGACAUGUUAAGCUCUUCCAGGUAGCCCUUAGCGCCUGCUCUUGAGAGGACAGUGAGCAGAACUUCCAGAACAAACAUUGCUGAGUUUUUGACUGAUACUUCACUUCUCCGUGGUUAACUGCAAGAACAAAACUUAAAUAUUUAUUCUUUAAGUGGAGGAAAAUGAAAUGUAAAAGGCCCCAAUGAAAUGUGCAAGUUUACAAGUCUGCUGAAUGGCUCUUCAGCAAUCCACAGAUGGUGUGUAAUGGCUUAAGAUGAUGGUAGUGAACUAUCAGCCUAACUAAAGGCAUCGCUUUUUAUUUAUCUGAAGAAAUGGUGAUGUUGUGGCAGUACUUAGAGUGCUUCGAUAGUAAUCUUUUCCACUGAAGAUUGGUUUAAAUUGAUAAUAAGGAAAAAAUGUACCUUAGAGCAGAUCUGUUAUGUGAAAACAGAUCCUAAAGUAAUACAGUUCUCCAUAUUGGAGUUUUCUUGUCCUCUCAGUGGUUCAAGAGCAGAGUAUCCCUGUGCAGAAGGCUGGUGGCUUCAGAUGACAUGGUUGGAAGCUAUGGUCAGCCCUACUUGGGGGCCAUUGAGGUCAGUUCAGGAGUGCCCCAGAAAGGGUAGAGCCAGAUGACCUCUCUCAAAAAGGGAAGAUAUUCUCAAUUUUAGGCAACUUGAAAAACAACUUUCAGACUCAUGGAAGGAGAAAUAUGGUGCUGAAGACUAGGUGGGAUGAGUUGUGGUUAGGAUUAAAGAUGUUUUUAGAAAUGUCCAAUUGCAUCCACCUGGCCUGUCUCAGAUUUUAAUGUACAUUCUUGUUCGCUCGGAUUCUGUGAGCUGGAAAAGGAACAGUUCUACGCAGAGCGCUAAGUUUACAAAAUGACUCAUGAUUUAGCUAAUACUAAUGAAUUCAGGACAAACUCUGGAGUGGGGGAAGAUUUCGACAUGCUCUUCUUGUUAGACCAACACAAAGAUUUGUCCCAGCUUUCACUGCGCUGCUGUGUGGUGGUGGUUUCACAAGUCAUAUUUCUUCUGCACUUGCUGAACCAUGUCAGACUGCUGUUGUGGCAGAAUAUAUUCUCCUUACAAAGCUGUCUGCCAUUGAGGUUAAUUAGCUAUUGGUAAUGAUUUGUCUACUACAAGUAGAUGACAGGUCUAAAAAAAAAAAUCAAGUCUUUCAAUGCAGAUUUAAUCUCUCCUGUUUUGUGUAUUUCAGAACGCAGUUCUUCCUACUAUAUAAUCAUGUAAUAUAUAUAUUUUUUACGUUAGUCUUCUCCUCUAUUCAGUGCAUGAGCUGAGAAAUCUAAAUUUGGUGGGUUACUAUAAACCUGGUUAGAUCUUGUAUGUUAAGUGCUUUACCUUUUGGGUGGAGUUAAAUUUUGUUCUUUGUAGGAAGAUUUUCCACCCUUGUGACUUUUAGGUUCAUUAUUUGUAAAGAAAAUGUGAGCUGUUAGUUCUGCCAUACUUAUGCAUGCCAGUAUGCCAUAUGCUGCAUGCCAGUUCUCUUAUUAUCAGAGAUGUUAUAAAAGUGAAAUGAAAAAGAAUUUCUGAGCGCCCGUUGUAAAAGUUUGAAUUUUCUCAGAGACUGUGGUAUCUGUUUAAAACAGAAAGUUUGUUCUUCUACUUAGUUGUUACUCAGGCUUGCCUCUGCCCAUUAUGCAUGUUGGUACCAUAAUUUAUGGUUUCCUUCACUAACAUUGAAACUCUGGGUCAAUUUCUCCUAUCAAGGAAAACUUGCAUUUCUUAGGAAGUCAUAAUCUGGUCACUAUAAUAGAAGCACAGUAUAUGAUAUCUAAGUUUAUUCAGUCCAUAUUUCAGAUGUGCAUGGAACACCGCAGAAAAUUAUAAUGACAGUUGUUUGCCAUAAAAUGUAUAAUAUCUAAAUGUAACAUAUUUGUGUAUACAUGUAGUAGUUGUAGUCUUCAAAAUCUGUGUAAUAUUUUCAAGAAUGAUAAACUGUACUUGGAUUGUGCCAAUAACUCCGAACAGUUAUCACAUAUCUUCAUAGUACUUUAAGGCAUUAUCUAAUGAGUUUGCACAGCAUCCUUUUCAGUAGCUUAGGGUGAGUACCAGUUCCCUGGGCUUAAAGGGAGACUUUGAGCCCAUCAGGUGUGGCAAGAGCCACAGAAUCCCUGAGCCUGCCUUGAUUCCUUUAUGUUAAGAGAAAUUCCCAUCAUAGUCAAGAAACACUCUGCAAAAUGAAGCGUCUCCCUCUCUGUUUUGGACACUGAGUUUGGGAGGCCUGAAUGAAUACUUGCAUUUUAAGAAAUUUAUCAUAUGUUAUUGGUGUCAGUGGUGGAUGUUUACUGCACUGGGCUUCCUUCGUAAGAGCCUAGAACUAUGGGAUAGAUAUUAAAGAGGAUACACAGACAUUCUGCACUUAACCAAGGGAAAAAGGACACACGCUGAACGAUCAUCUGCGUGACUCCUCACUGCCGGCAUGGAUGCUGAGUAAGGUUUGGGUCAGCUCUCCCUGUGGCACUGUCCUUUGUGGCUUCUACAACUUCUGCACACGAACUCUGAAAUUUCAGCCAGGAGACGAAGGGUUUAUGGGGUGUCCUUGCAUUCUUUACUGUUGGCUGGAGCAUGCAGCUCGCUCUGUCUGUGCAACUAUUGAAGCAGUCACAUAAGCAAGUCUGUAAUUUCCUGCAGUAUUUUUUCUAUUUAAAGUGCUCGAAUCACAGAGCACUCAAAUUAAGCAGUUCAUGCACUUUGGAAUUGAAGAGAGUGCCUUGGAGAAACUCUCCAACUGCAGCUGAAUUAAUGCUAACUGGGGCCUGAGGAUUGCUAGCAAAAACGUGUGGAUGAGGGGCUGAUAAACCUGGCAGAGUUUCAGGAAGCAAGGGUGGGGUGGCUGGGGAGCAUUAUCUUAUCUAAAUGGUAAUUUCUGUUCUGUACGUUAAUUAAAACACAUAGUGUACAAACGAGCAUUUAGGAAAUCUUUUGGAGGAUCUUUUCCUAAGGGGGUAUUUUGGAAGUAAAUUGCGAGCUGUACACAUCUACUCCAUGCAGCCUCCAAGAACAGUACAGAAACAAAUGAUCCAAAUUAUAUUGCAAGAGUUUUUGUUUAUGUAGGUAUUUGGGGCAGAAUCUGUUUUAUUUUGUACUUAAUAAUGCAUUUUUGGUAUCCUGAUUCUCUCCGCAGUUAAGAGAAAAGAUUGUACUUGUUUCUUAAUGCUUCUUCUUGAAGACUGCUGUAACAUAUCCAGGAACCAGUGUGGAUGAGUUGUAGGAGGGGCUGACUGGAUGAUUAAGUGUGAAAGCAAGGUUCCCAUUCCACUAUCAGAAAAUAUUUACAGGAGGCAUGUUUUUCAUUACCAGGUUGAUUUUGCUUUCUUUGCUGUCUUACAGUGCAUUCGUGUCUAAUCUGUUUGCAAUCUUGCUUCUGUGUAGCUCCCAAAUUUUGCUUUUUGGGUGGAACGAUCUCAUGCACUGGCAGAGUUGGGUCCUGUUGGUAUUUUAUUUGCUGCAUUGCCUUUUUUAUGGAACGUAGGCACAUAUCACUUUGAAAAACAACAACAAACCAAUUCUCCCGUAAAAUGUUCCUCACUUGAAAAACUGUAGAAUUUAUCGGAUUCUUGGUAAUUGCAAUGACCUCAGGUGUAGCAAAUGAAUAAUAAUGAAAGCUAAAUAACAGAGUUUAGAGGCAGUGAUUUUGUUUUUUAAACUUUUGCAGAAGAACAAAUGCUUCCUGUCAUGGGAAAAGGAAGUUACAGAUGCUUGUGUGGAAUUAAAAGGGAUUUGGAAAUGAAAAGUAACCCUUUUGUGUGCCCCAAAUAUGAAACUGCGUGUGGUUUGCCUGGGCAUUUCAGUGAAAUCCACUCUCCUAAUGUAAUUCAAAUAUUUAGAUUUUGGAUUAAGGUAGGCUAUAUUCAUAAGAACCAAAACAGGUAGAGAUCAUUUUUGUCUCAUCUGGACCCUCCCUUAUUACACCUCGCUUAGUUUUCCCGUUUAUGAGCCUUUCUAUCUUUUCCUUCAGUGGUUAGUCUACACCAGAGUGCAAAAGAUAUUAAGGAUAGAAGCAGAGAAAAAGACAAACACUGACCUUUCUAAUUGGCUCUUGAAGCCUGACAUAUUUACCACUCUAAGAAUUAAUAGGGUGACAUGGUUUGUCAGCCAAAUCAAGUAUUUCUUGCUUCUUCAUGAAGCCUACCAUUAAACAAAUAAAUAUCUGCUGGUGUCUCCACAUAAUAGAUUUUUAUACAUUGUUAUAGAAAGAAAUCUUACUUCCAGGUGAUUCAGAAUAAACUUCAGUAGCCAAGCAGGCUGCCCUGUGAGCCCCCUUGCUUUCCACGCUAAGUGCAAUCCUGGUUGGAAAUGAAUGGCUCACUUCUGUGUCUGAAGUCUUUGGCACCAAGAAUUAAGACUUAAUCAUGCCCUGCAUUGAUGGGUAGCAGAGCAGAACGGCUCUCUCUGAGCUGACAGGAUGGUGUUUUGUUCUUUACUAGUGUUCUCUGGAGGUAGUGGAAAGGACUGUGAAACCUCUGAUUCCUUGCUCCACUGUGGAUUAGGGGUUUUCAAGCAUAACCUGGAAAAUUUUUUCUCUCUGAUGGUAUUGAGGCUGAGAUGUCUGGUAGUAUCCUAGAAAGCGUAAUGAUAACACCACUAGGAUCUUGCUUAUUUUUAACGCGUUCCAUGAACUAGCUAGGAUUAACUGUUUGCAUUGCAGAGUUUUACAGUGAGUUUUAUUAGCAGAGGAUAAUGACUUCAGUGUACCUCUGACAAAUCUGUGGUCUCUUCACAAUAUCGACUCAGAAAAUCUAAUGAAACAGAUUGGUAUUGUUUGGAGUGCUGGUCUGUUAAAAGUGCCUGUGAAAAGGAUGCCAGAAAGCACUGUACUUUUACAAAGAAAACAAAGCAAACAUAUAAAAACAAAGCGACCUUUCCUGUGGCUUUGUUGCUGUGAUAAAUACAGUGAGUUCCAGGAACUUCUGAAAGGGAGUCUUUAAAACUGAUCUGACACACAAAAGUGCAAACAUUGAGCUAAUCUCGAAGAGCAAGUAAAAUCACAUUGUAUUUGACUUUAAAAGGGAUAGUAAACUCUAUCCUGCUGGGUCUCUGCGGGAUGAACGAGUAUUGAUGUUUCAGAAUCAAAGUAGCCCAUGUAAAUUCAGUCUUACGUGUUAUGUAACAGCUGAGGAUUUUAGGAGAAUUAUGACGUAAAAGCUUGGUGCUUAUUUAAUAAACUGAUCAUUAAUUACAGUUCAGCAAUUUGCUUCUGGGUUGAAAUGAGGAGUAGCUGUACAACCCUUUCCAUUUUAAUCACAGCAUCUGUUACAAGGAUAAGUUUCUCUCCCCCUAAUGGACAUUUUGCUGCGUUGGUGCUGUACGUGUUGUUGGCAGUGUUUUAAUUCAGAGUUGUUCAUUGUGUGGGGGUUGGUAUGUGCCCCCUCCAAAAGACACUGACCCAUUCACUCAGGGCAAACAUCUCUAGCUAACUGCUGCCUGCAGUAGCUGCUUUUGAUCUUGCUUUCCUAGCUAUGAUUUUUCCCCUUUUUUCCUCAUCUCUCUUCUACCUCUAAGAAUUAAAUGAUGCAGUCAUAGAGGAAGGCACGUGUCUUUGCACUGUUAUAAAGUGACAACUUUGUAAACUGUUUGUACUUAAAUCUACUUAGAAGCUGUGCUGUAUCUGCUGUGGGGAUCCAUCAGCAGCCUAUCAGGUUCUCCACCUGAACGCUUCAAGUAAGGUACCAACUGUUUAAAGUUUGGGACCACCUGUCAAGAGUGCGUAUGAAUCUGCCUUCUACCACGGUUGACACUUCCAUAUUGAAACUAAAACCAUCACAACUUGGAACGUCGACUCUUCCUGAAAAAAAGUACUUUGCAAGAAUAGUUAACCCCAAGCACUGCAAUGGAGCAUAGAGCUUCUUGUUGGUCAGAAGUAUAAACAAAAAUUGCCAUUUCCCAAGGGAUUCAGUAAACACAAGAUAAUGAUGCUCCACACUUGAUGGCAGUUUCUGCAGUCAUUUUCUGUCGUGGCCAUCAGCAGAAUAAAACCAAAUGGGUUCCACAUACUUGAAUCUUUGGCAAAAGACAGUGUUCUCAGCAAGCAGUAUUGGGUGUUGGCAUCAACAGGUCCUGGGAUAAAGGUUUACCAGUUCUUUCUAGGAAGAAAAUAUGAUGUUUUCACCCCUAACCUUAUAUUUGAUUAGGAGUAAGUCCCAAUUUCAUACAAGAACAGAAAAAAAAAAUAAUUGUGCUGUGCUUACCUACUAGGGUUGUUGGAGGGAACAGCAUUGCUGUGUUGCCUUGCCUGAAUGUUUUAAUUACUUUCCUUCUUUUGUACUGAAGCUUAAGGAAGCAGCAUACCAUCUGAUAAAGCAGAAUAAAGGCUUUCAGGGAUGCUGCUCAUGAGUGCUAGAACUAAGCCCGUGUGUGGCAGCCUGGUGCAGCACUGCAUGCCUGGCACAGUACUGGUUGCUGGGUUGUUGGUCUGCAGAGGACAGAAACCCCAGCAGUGGCUUUCAGCUCCAUCACAUGAAGUGCCAGGUGUGCCCCUGGGAGUCUGCUUGGUUACAGGGCCUUCAGACUGCCUGUGUUCUUGAUGAGUGAUUUUCUUUGCAUUCCCAUCUGUAAAGAAUGAGAGUUUGCUGUAGGAGUUGAGUGCUGACAAGUCCCUUUCAUGUAGCCAUGGUUUGAACAAGCGCAAAGAGUUCUUUCUGAAAUACCAGCAUAAAUUGGGGCUUUAAUCUUAAUUAGGGCGUGUACGUUGCAAAGUGAAUUGUAGGGGGAAAAAAGUUGCCACCUUAUUUUUAAUCAUAUUUGUACAACUUUUUAUACAGUAAUUAUGUGUUUUACUCUGAACAUCAAGUUAUGUUGGGAAAUAAAUGGUAUAAGCUGAGCCUGAAUUUUAAGUGUGAGCAAUGUUUAAAAAGCAAUUAACACAGAGAGGUAUACUGAGUGAUAAACAGGGGAGGAGGCAAGCAAUUGAAAGCAAAAUGAUCUUGCUGUAACAGCUUUCUGUUCAGGAGAUGCAGUAGGGAAGCAGGGAAGCAGCUUGUGCAUCGCAUGGAUUUCUGUUGGCCUUCUGUGCAAGGCAAGUUCCGUGGCAGCGUGACCUUCACACGCACAGCUCCAGCUGGGAGCUCCAACUUUCCCAGUGGCUUUGAUUUGCUCACAGUAUUAACGAGUGCUUAACCUCAUAAGCAGCAUUUCCUGAAUAUGACAUAACUUCAGCUAUAAAAAGUUUAAGUUUUAUUGUGGUUUUGGAGGACUUUAACGAAGUGAGAUUUCUAUCAGCCCAGCGUUUCCGCACAGUGACUCACAGACCUGUGUGCAGCACCAAUAGGUGGACAUUUUACAACUUGGGCAUGGUUCUAACGUGUUCGAAAGUAAGCAGACUGAAGCUGGCGGUAGUGCUACCGUGUUAUCCAAGAGGCAUUUUGACUACUAAUCAACAUAAAGUAUUUCCUUUCUAUGCAGUUCUCUCAUCUGGGUUCAUGCGCCUGAUGGCCAGACACAUUAAAGAGAGCAGCGUGUGCACGGUAAUGGGAGAGCAGGCCCCUGUGACUGAAGAUUUCAAGCAUUUCUCUUCCUUCCAGAAAUUACAGGCAAAAGAACUGAAGUAAUAGAACUUGGGAAGUAAAUUUAGGGAGAUAGUGUGAGUGAUCAGUCAUUACUACAGCUCAGUUUCUAUGUUCUGAAAUGUUAGUUUUGUCAGUAAUCUAAAACUCCUUCCAGAAAUUAGGCCCGUUUUAAUCUCUGCUUGUGUUCGGGGUAGUGAGCAAUUUACCGGAGUUAGGGAGACUCACUUAACAGUUCUGAUUCAGUUUGCCAAAAGGAAUAACGAAAAUUAAGUUUCUGUGGUGUUUUGAAUGCUCAAUUCUUUAAAGACCUUCCAGAUAUUUAAGCUUCUAACUCUUAGAAGUGUGGUGGAAUUCAUUUUAUAUGCUAAACAGCAAUAUUUUGAUAUAUGAGUGAAUUUUUAGAGCUUUAAUGUAAUUGCUGUAUUUAAAAGUAGUACUUAUUUAGAAAUUAUGAAGGGUAGUUUCCCUUGCCUGAUGGGUUGUAGAAAUGUGGCUCUGUAGCUGUGCCUCCUAAAUGUUGAACUGGGGUGAACUGUGUGUUGAGGAGGGUUUGUUAAUACGGCGUUACAGGUAAAUUCUCCUCUCAAAAACAGCGUCUCAGUAAAAGGCUUUUUUUUUUUUUUUUUCAUAGUUGCAUCUAUUAACUAGAGUACUUCUUUUGAGGCAUCACCAAGUCCAGCUCACUGUCAGCAUUGCUGUGUCAGUAAGUGACAUGGUGCUCUAAAAUGGAUGUGGUGGUGGUUGGGCAAGCGGGGUUGUGGCUACUAAAGAUGAAGUCUGUGUGCUGUAUUCUCAUCAGUGUUGAGCCUCCCACCCACAACCUCUCAUGCAUUUCUGACGGUAUCUGAGCAAGAACUUGAAAUUGGAGUGUUUCAAUGUAUUAUUUAUCCUUAUCAAAACUGGAAAAUUUCUUAGCGCUGUUACUGCUAAACAGUGUCAUGGUAGUGCAGAUAAGAGUGCCUUUUGGGGAAGAAUUACCACUUAUAAAGCAUUUCAGAGCAUGGUGACAGCAUCAGUGCUAAGGAGAACUCUGUAGCUGAAGGUCAGAGCACACUGUGAUAGGAAGCUUUGCUGCCAAGGGCCUUUGUUCUGGCACUGUGCUGUGCACGCUUUGCCCACGGUGGUGUGGUUUGUUGACUCCUUGCUGUCUCCCAACAGAAUGUCUUCCAGGCCACUAUAGCUAUCACUGGAAACGGAGCCUAAGUUUGAAACCAAAAGGUUCUCUGGGUUUCAAGUUGCAGCAGUCACAGAGGAAAGCAGGAAAUCAGUGCUGCCAGAGGGAAAGAAUAAUCUGGGGAAUAAAACUUCACUGAGGCUCAGAAGAGGAGAUUGCACGGCUCGCCUGUCCACUAAUUAACAUUAUUUUUUGCUUAGGAAUAAAGAAUCCAUGUACAUUUGUAACCAAGUGCUUAUAAUUCAGAUUACUUCUAUGUUGUGUAAUAUUCAGAAAUGUAAGUUGGAAUUUCUUUUCUAUGCGUAAGAACCAUUAGUUUAACAUGUUGACAUCAAGGAAUAGGACUUCAUGUGGGUUUUCCAGGUCUCCGUUUCUUAAAAAAAUUAUUUAUAUCAAGUAUGUUUAAAAAUGUUUUGUUUUGUAUCGCCAGUUUGAAGUGGAAGUUAAGUCAGCACUGCAGCAGUCACCAUGUACAGCUGUAUGAAGAACAUCCUUUUGUGAAUAUCAGUCAAUACAUCUUUGAGUGUUUUAUGGAAUGUAACAUGAAAGGCACAUUCCUUGCCGAAACUUCCUUUAUGCUGGGCUUCUCUCUAAUGUAAUUUCCAUCAGUUAAGGAAUAAAGAGAGCGUGUUUUGGGGUCCGUUUUGCUUGGCAGUGCACAAAGAAAAAGAAGCUUGAGGUGGGGGGGAGGAGUAUUAUUUCUCAGCUACUUCACACAAAGAAAUACUGUACUGCUUUCAGAAAUCCCUUAGUACAAAUGCCUCCUGUCAUAGGCAAUCAGCGUUACGCCAUUUUGACAUAGCUGUACAGGAUACUGCAGUGUUUUAUGAAAUUGUUGAUCUGGACUUAGUACAGGAGAGCUGGAACUGGGCUAAAGCUUAAAGUCUGAUUUUCAGUGUUCAUAGUGGUGUUGAUUGUGAAGCAAGAACUGCUUUAAUGGGUAGUUCUUCUCAAAUUCAACACAGUACACUUAAAAGAUGAGGCUAACCAAGCAUAGAGCUGCUUGGAAGGACUGGGGCUGUCUGUCUGUCUUUCGGUCUAUGCAGCUGUGUGUGCACAGAAAGGAGUAUCAGAAAUCCUCCAUCACUUGCAUGGCACUUGUGUUGACUUUGUUAGCAUGCCUCUAUCAAAACCCUGGUAGUGCAAAAUAUGUUUGUUUGUUUGUUCUUUCUUUAACUGGAACUUAAACCUGGUUACUUAGUUGAAUGCUCCAUCCUAGAAUGGAUCCAAACAGUGUGGCAGGGCUGGACAUUUUGAGAACUUCAUAUUUCAAACCUUUAUACCCAUAGCAGCAGAUGUCCUACCAGUAUAUUACACUGCCUGACUGUAAAACACCAAGUGCUUGGCUCUGUCUUCUGUUGCUAGAAGUGGUAUCUGCCAGAUCUCUGCACCAGCAGAUGAAGUUUGACUGGGAAAAACAUCUGGACUCUCACACUAGUGAGGUGGGGAGGGAGGGAGAGCUGUAAACCCCGUCUGGAACAGGUAGUGCUGCUGCCAAAGAGGGGCUGGCCCUGGCUGGCAGCAGUUAACCAGCUCAGCUGCUUCCUAAAGGCUCUUGUGCAAGGCUUGCUGCCCUGUGCUGACUGCUUGAUGUGUGUUGAAGUUGUUCUGCUGCUGUAGUCCUGCAUACGGAAAAGCAGAAAGUAAAAAGCUGUAGUUCCCUGCCGUUGAUAGCAUAAGCAUGUACACAAGAAUGUACUUCAUGCUUGUUAAGCUUACAUCCCGAUUGCCCUCUUCUAAAUGAGCUGUGUAAUACUGAAAAUGAGAUAAUAGUAAAUAAAAUGUUCAACCCACUUUGCAGCUACCAAUAAACACAUAUAUCCUUUUUACGUUCUAUGCACACGUUUGGUUAUGUGGUGUUCCUAUAGACCUGCUGCUUGUUUUUCUUUGUAUGUAUCUACUUCUGGGAGUAGCAUAUUAAUUUUCUCCUCUAAUUACAAUCCUGUGCUGCUUAAAUUAGUUUAGUAAUUAUGAGAGUAGCCAUUACCUCAUUAAUGUGUAAGAAGAAGGUAGGAUUCAACUCCCUUGACUUCUGCUGAUCACAAGUAUUUUGAAGGUAGGUGACGUUAUUCUCGUGCUUAACUUUUGAAUCUGUCAUCUAUUCUAUGCUCCAAACAUCAAGCUUCCUCAUUAGUGGACUGUGAGAGCAUCCUCUAGAGCUGACUUGUUGACUUAAACUAGAAAGUGAAAAUUUUAUCAGACUUACUGGCAUUACACCAAAUUUCAUCAGAUUUAUUGGUUUCCUUACAUUUUUCAAUUUUCGUGACAGUAUUUCCUUUAAAAUUUAGUUUCAAGAGCUUGUUUUUUGGUGUUGGUUCAGUAAGACAGCCUGCUAUAUGUGUUUCCAUCUUAUUCACACUGAGCAAGGGAAUCCUGAUGUGCAAAUGGCAGUUGCUCUGUAUUCGUGGGAACUUCCUUUUUUGGUCUUUCAGUCUUUUGUUUCCCCCAGCCCACCUCUGCUAUUUUUUUUUUUUCUCCUGGGCAUCAACAUGUGCUCAGUUUAACGGUUUUCUUAGUAGUUUCUGAGGUUUUUCAGUUUCUUUUGGGUUCUUGCUUUUGUAUUUCCAUUUGAAAGUCUUCUCUCCUUCUAUAGAUAAUUUUGCAGUUUUGCUUGAAGUAAGACGGAAUAAAUUCUACAUCUUAAGUUAACUGUAAUUUUGUGUUUAGCACGUAUCACAUUUAAUUUAGCUUUCUUUUUAACGUGGUUUGCUGUAAAGGCACACUGGGUGCCUUUUUAGUGCCAGUACACCUUGUUCCUUUAUGUUUGCUGUUGGUGUGGAUAUGGGCUACUGGCAGUAAGAAGAAGGAUUUUUAUCGAUAUUUAUAUAAGGUGUGUGGUUUAUUUUUCCCCAUUGGACGUGUUGUUAAAUAAUAACUGCUGUAGUUCAGUGUUACUCCCAGGUAAGUUUAUAAAAUACAUGUAUCGCUUGAAGGAUUAGGGUUUUUUUCCCCUAAACUGUUGCAUGGAGGAUGGUGUUCAGUAUAUAAUGUGUUAGACCGUGACAGGAAGAAAUGUGUUCUUUAGGCGGAAAGAGGGAGAUGUAUGACAUUCUGGUGACAUGUAUAUAAUUAGUUUUGGGGAAGUGAGGGAGAGAGUUAUGACUUGUGGCUGUCCAUGUAUUUAAAUGGGUUUUGUUAUUUUCUUGGGCAGAUCUAGAAGGCUGGAGCAGAACUGCAGUCCUCAUGCUGUGCUUUUUCUUUGCAGCGAUAGAGCAGGCCACGCACCGGGGCAGGUGAGACAAGGUGCAGGUCACCCUGUCACAGCACAGGAAGCAAUCACUCGCUCACUAGCAUACUGCAGAGCCUGAUUUUCAGUUCUCCUAAUCUUUGUCUCAGCUACGACAAGCUAGGGAUGGGGACAUGAGGUGGGCCAUGUGCUUCCUGAGCUGAGAUGGGCUCCUCCAUUUGGGCUUGGUCUGGUUUUGCCCUGAGCUGGAAGAUCCGUGAGGAGAGACGUAGUGUCGGAGUUGGCUGGUUACUGCUUAAAAUGACAGAUCUUUGUGGACUUUUGAAGAAAGGAGAUUCCUUGCUGUGGUACUGCUCUGGCCUCUUGCCAUGAUGGGUAUUGUGCUCACUUAGUUGCCAGGCCAGGCUGGAAAGGAACUGAAUGAACUCGGAAAGUUUCAAAAUAUGUUAAUUUUAUUAAAGAAUAUAUUGACUCUGAUUGGUUCUUUUCCCUAUUUUUUUAAAUUGAUAAGUCUCCAAAUUAUGACCAUAAAGUCACAGAAUAGUAAGGGCGUGCUUCAAAGCAGAACAAACCAUACAUCCUUCAAACUGUAGCUGAGCUGCCAUAUGCCAGACCUGACUCCUGUUCCAGAUACUCUGCAGAUUUACUCCACAGCAUUACAUCCUUGUGGGAUUUUUUUACAUCUUUUAAUAUAGCUUAUUCUUGUCCACUUUAGUGAGAAAAGUCUUAAAAGUAUUAAACAGCAUUGGUACUGGGAAAUGGACAGAUGAUACUGAUCAGAAAAUGGGAUUGCACACUCAAAGAGCUGGCUAUGGCCUCAGGUUUUGUUGGUUCUGAGCCUCUACCCUUCUUUUAAGCAAAUACUCAAAAUGAAAUGGAGCUUAUUAACGUUAUUUUGUCCUGCUGGGUUGAAAACAUUCUGUGUAAAUGCAAAGAAACCAUAGUAAGUAUCAAAGUUAAACCACUUUUAGAGGCAGAAUCAAAUUAAAAUGAAUUUAAACAAGUUGGAUUAGCAUGAACUGACUCUGUUUGUAAAGAGUACUUUGCAUUUCUAUAUCUUUUCACAGCCAUAAUUGGGAGAAGAAUAUCAGCAACUUCACUUACAAAGCUGCUGUUUGCUUCCUCCUUUUGCCCUAAAGCAAACAAAGUAGUCAGGCUCCCAGUUUGGAAUCUAUUGAAUGAACCCAAAUCAUUUAUUUGCUGUUUAGUUGUCCUGGCAGCAAGGCAAAUAGAUGUGAAAAGAUUAGGCAAACAAAAAGGCAAAAACCUUGGCCCCCUUGUAAGGAUUUGGGAACACAGCUAGUAGUUCAUCAAUUGUUGAAGCUGCAACGUAAAGACAUUUUGGAAAAAGCAAGCUGAAAAUAAAACACCUUAUCUGUGUGACCUCUAGGAAUCAGGGAAUUCUUGGAAUAAGGUUUUAAGUUUAUUGUCAUCUCUUCCUUUUUCUUCUUGUUUGUUUUGUUGCAGCUCCAAUAUGUAUUGAAAAUCCUGUGUAACAAAUUGCAAGUGAGAAGAGUGGCAUGUUAGAGGAGAAAAUCAAUGGCUGUCUUAGCUUAAUGACUGAGACACUGCCCUGUGCGGCAGGGAUGUAUCUGAGAAAGUUGUCAGUGAGGACAUGAAGUUUCUUAUUCAAUCACAUUAAAACCCUGAGAAACAGUACGCUUUGGGACAAACACAGCAAUUAUUGCCAACCAAGAUGCAUGUAGUAGGAGAGUCUUUGCCUCUAAAAGCUUGCAGGCUAACUCUGCAAGGCAGGGAGACCAUGCAAUGGAGAGAGAUUAAACUUCAUCCAUUUAGGGGAGAGAAUGAAACACCUUGCCUGAAACCACAGUGUCUGCACAGAACUAAGGAGUUUAAUAUGAGGCUUUGCUGCUCCCUGGGUUUUGCUGACGCUGUUUUGUGGGUAGGGGAAGAAGGGCCAUUCCCAUGUGUAUUGCCCAGGAGUCCAACCUCUGGUAUGGUCCCAGGGCUCAGUGGGGAGUGCAGUGGGACAGAACAGCUCUGUCCCUGCCUGGGGUCUGAUGCACUUCUCUUUGAAGAUGAUAAAUGGAGUCACGGAGAAUUGUUGCUGUGAUAUGAAUUAUUCCCUCUGUUAUUAAAUAAUAAACAUGACCACAGUGACCUACUCACUCUCCAGACUCCAUUCCUUCUGUGGCUUAAUCUCAGUAAUGGCUUAGUGUUUGAAAUAAGUAAUGCCAGGGGUGGCUGAGAGCCGCUGAGAAAGGGGCAGCAGAAAGGAGUUGGUAGAUUGAUACCAUAUCGUGUGUAUUGUAAAGCAAGGUAGUAAAAAGCCUCAGGAAAUUAUAUUUCUUAAGUAAUGCAGUCAGAAUUGCACUUAGGCAGAGGAGAUUGCUUUGUAUUUACUAGCUGUGUUUACUGCUUUUUUCUGAUGUGCCUAAAUAGGAAAAGCGGGUAUUCAGAAACUUCGGGGAAUGGAAAAUGGAGUUCUAGACCCGAAUCUGUACAGCUACUUUUGGGAAUAACACAGUGAAAUGAGCGAGCUUGAUUUGCUGCGCAGCAGACGCCAGGAUUAUAUGAUGUGGAAGGAAUUUUUUACUUUUAAACCCUUUCAGUGUGAUGAAAUGCAGGGGAGUGGAAGGAGGGGCUGAUAGAAGUGCCCUCGUUUUGUUAACCUCUUCUGUGCUUUGAAUGCAGACGUACCAGUUGAUUCAUGUGAGCACAGCUCAUAGCGUAGGUGGGUGCUACCAAAACAGUAAUUAAAUGUAGUCUGUGUUUCUGGAAUAGAGCUAAAAUGGAGUGGAAAAUAGUAUUAUUUAUUCUGUGGUUUAAAGCCUUUCUGCUAUAAACAGAAAAUGCAAUAAACAGAGAACCAAGUUGGCAUGAAAAUUGAUGAGGAGUACAGUGUGUCUUUUUUGGUAUUUAUGCAUUAUUUAAAGCAAGUUUAGCAGACUGUAAAGCUUUUGAUUACAGUCAGCUUAUGUGUUCUGCUGCAAUUGUGUAGCACCUCAGACUAGAAUGGACCAAUGGAUAUUGAUAAUGCUGAUGGCCCACAGCAGCUCACAGGAGCAGUGGGUGAUGGUUGGCAUCAUGCUGUGCUCCCCCAGUCUGCCCAGUGCCAUGCUGCUCCCGUUCACAGAGAAGCGUUUACUGGGGCAUCACCACGGUCCUUUUCAUUGAGAGAAAAAUAUACUUGAAUGAACUUUCUUGCCUCUUGUGCUAUAUGUAGUAAACUCCAUUGAGUGUUCUAUUUAAAGAAAUGACAAGGGUAGAUCAGAGCCUUUAUUAAAAUAUCCUGGAGCCCCUUGCAAGGUUACCCUCCUCCCAUGGAAACAGUCUUUGUGCGUCAGCUGCAGCAGUGUUGGGAUGCAGCACCCCUUGUCUGUCUGGGGGCCGUCCCCUGGGGUAGCGGCCAUCUCAAUGCAGCGGCAGUUCACUUGGGGCGGUUCAGUUCUGGUUCUGGGGGUGAGGUCUGGGCCUGAUGUCUUGGUGCCGCCUACGCUGUGCAAGUGGGAGUCAUGCAAGGAAAGGGAAGGGUGCCAGGUGCUGUGCAGCAGGAGGGGCCGGGCAGGCAGUGGGGGGAGCAGGGCGCUGCACAGCACUGAGACGGUGAGCAAGGAUAGAGGUGAAACCCCAGCUAACCCCAGCUGUGCAGCGUUCCCCUUCCAGGCACUAAUAAAGCCUGAGGUGACUUCAUAUUCAAAACCUGUUGAACCUGUUGGCAAAACCAGAACCCUGGAUCCUCACUGCACCGUGUUUUGUUUGUUGCUACCAAUGCCAUGCCAAUUGCCUAGCAAUGGUGUUUGUUUUCUUAGAGCAAACUGCAGCUCUCACGUGCAGCCGCAGCCCUGCGCAGCAGUGACACGGCCAAGGCUCGCUGAGCCAGGCAGGAGCAAGAGGAGGAGGAGGAGGAUCAGGAGGAGGAGGAGGGCCCUGGUGCCAAAGGGGCUGAAUGCAGGGAACAGGGAAACCGCAGUUGUUUCCUCCUCCCGCUGGCAGGCACGGUCAACGCUAAACCCAUUGCUUUUAUAGGAACAAGCUGACCUACUUAUUGCAGCAUUGGAUUUCAGUUGGGCUCUCGUUGUCUGAGAGGAGCUGGUUUCUAACCCCACCUCAGCUCCAGCCCCGGCUUGUUGGGACAUCACCUCAUAGGUCUGGCCUCCAGUCCCUGCCUUUGG